AGACAACAAAAUGUUUAAUAUUAUUAUUUUGUCACCUUAGGUCGAUCGGUAUCUCACGUUCUUAUUCAAUUAAGAAUUUCAUUUCCUAAGUUUUUCUAGGUCACACCCAUUAUUUUUCCUGGGCCAUUAGCUCAGGUGGUUAGAGCGCACCCCUGAUAAGGGUGAGGUCCCUGGUUCAAGUCCAGGAUGGCCCAUAUCUCUAUGUUGGGGGUAUAGCUCAGUUGGUAGAGCGCCUGCUUUGCAAGCAGGAUGUCAGCGGUUCGAGUCCGCUUACCUCCACUGAUUACCACCUCUUCCAUAAUCUUAAGCAAGGAAAUGUUUUGAGUUGUGAUCAAAUUCUGAACGAAUCUAGCUUCCUAAUGAAAGAAUUAAGAUGCUGGACUCAUUGAAUCAAUUUCAUUGUUUUCAGAGAACCUUGACAACUGCAUAGAUUAUUUUUAAAGACAAUAAGCAUCUUUAAUGAUGCAGAUUUAUUAUUUGUGCGAAUGCAUUAAUAACAAUUCUAUUAAGCUGAUGCUUCAAUUUUGAAGUUAUU
rnacentral:tRNA from 1 species